AGGACUAUACCCUCAGAGAUCUUUCUAUAUUUCACCACCAGAGAAGUUUCUUUGUGCAGAGCCCACGAGACCGUGUGGACCGAGGGGUGGAGUUCUCUCCUACUGUGAAGCUGGCUCUAGAUGCGACUUCCUACAGCUGCCUUUUGCCAUUGGUGAUCCUUCCCUUCAUUUGGGACAGUGGGAGUGAGGGCAGGCAAUCUGAGCGGA